CAAACACCCAGCGGAGGGCGAAGCAACCACUGGGUUCGCACACACCCUCGUUAGGCCUGUGAAAAUGGCACGUUGGCGGGCAGUUUGGUUCCCAGGUGAUGCUAAUGCUGCUGGUCCGUGGACCCACUUGGAGGACUGCCAAGUUAGGCUACCUGGCCUCCAGGUGAGAAUGUUGGAGCGGACUUUUCAGGUAGGACCGGCUCACGGCUACCCCUACCCACGAAGCCCGAGAUGGCCCCAAGACAUCUCCUGCGCUGAGGCACUGGGAGGCACAUUGGUGAGGGAAGUGCCCUAGGGCCAGGAAAGCUGAUGGGAGAAACUGCGGCUGAAUGGGAAUCUGGUGUCUGGUGUGUCAGCAGCUCAGAAGAGCAGUGGAUUGCCAGCAUUUGUUGCCAUGAAGGUGGCUCCUGAGCCGCUGCUGUUGGGGAAUGCUCUGCAGCUCCUGUGCCUGGCAGCAGUGGCGUGGGCAUCUACCCAGAGGGCUCUGCAGCAGAACUGGGAGCACCAUUUCUGGCCACAGAGGCCCCCAGCAUGGCUCUCUCACUCUUCCCAGGAUUCUGUGACCAGCCAUUUUGUCCUUUUUUAAAAAAAAAAAAAAAUUGAAGUGAAAUUUGCAUAACCUGAAAUUAACCACUUCAGUAGCAUUUAAUGCAUUUUCUGUGUUGUGCAACCCCCACCUCUGGCUAAGUUCCCAAAUAUUUCUACCAUUCACCCAAAAAACCCCAUGUCCACUGAGCAGUUACUCCCCAUUCUCCUGUUUCCCCUGGAAACCACCAGUCUGCACCUGUGGAUUUACCUCUCCUGCGUGGUUCAUACACAUGGAACCAUACAGCAUGUGAUCUCUUGUGCCUAGCUUAAAGUAAUGUUUUCACGGUUCAUCCA